rnacentral:rRNA from 1 species
GAUGAACGCUGGCGGCGUGCUUAACACAUGCAAGUCGAACGAUGAAGCCCAGCUUGCUGGGUGGAUUAGUGGCGAACGGGUGAGUAACACGUGAGUAACCUGCCCUUAACUCUGGGAUAAGCCUGGGAAACUGGGUCUAAUACCGGAUAGGAGCGUCCACCGCAUGGUGGGUGUUGGAAAGAUUUAUCGGUUUUGGAUGGCCUCGCGGCCUAUCAGCUUGUUGGUGAGGUAAUGGCUCACCAAGGCGACGACGGGUAGCCGGCCUGAGAGGGUGACCGGCCACACUGGGACUGAGACACGGCCCAGACUCCUACGGGAGGCAGCAGUGGGGAAUAUUGCACAAUGGGCGCAAGCCUGAUGCAGCGACGCCGCGUGAGGGAUGACGGCCUUCGGGUUGUAAACCUCUUUCAGUAGGGAAGAAGCGAAAGUGACGGUACCUGCAGAAGAAGCACCGGCUAACUACGUG